rnacentral:rRNA from 1 species
UACGGAGGGUGCAAGCGUUGUCCGGAUUUAUUGGGUUUAAAGGGUGCGUAGGCGGCGCGUUAAGUCGGGUGUGAAAGCCCUGGGCUCAACCCAGGAAGUGCAUUCGAAACUGGCGCGCUUGAAUAUGGAAGAGGGUCGCGGAAUUCCCGGUGUAGAGGUGAAAUUCGUAGAUAUCGGGAGGAACACCAGUGGCGAAGGCGGCGACCUGGGCCAAUAUUGACGCUGAGGUGCGAAAGCGUGGGGAGCAAACAGG